GCCUGGGUGGCUCAGUCGGUUGAGCAUCCGACUUCAGCUCAGGUCAUGAUCUUGCAGCUUGUGGGUUCGAGCCCCGCGUCAGGCU
rnacentral:tRNA from 1 species